UGAGCAAUCUGCCCUUCACAUCGGAAUAACCAUUGGAAACGAUGGCUAAUACCGAAUAUGACUUCGGAUCGCAUGAUCUGAAGUGGAAAGCUCCGGCGGUGAAGGAUGAGCUCGCGGCCUAUCAGCUAGUUGGUGUGGGUAACGCCCACAAGGCGACGACGGGUAGCCGGCCUGAGAGGGUGACCGGCCACACUGGGACUGAGACACGGCCCAGACCUCUACGGGGAGG
rnacentral:rRNA from 1 species